AUGAACGCUGGCGGCGUGCCUAAUACAUGCAAGUCGAGCGAACGGACGAGAAGCUUGCUUUUCUGAUGUUAGCGGCGGACGGGUGAGUAACACGUGGAUAACCUACCUAUAAGACUGGGAUAACUUCGGGAAACCGGAGCUAAUACCGGAUAAUAUUUUGAACCGCAUGGUUCAAAAGUGAAAGACGGUCUUGCUGUCACUUAUAGAUGGAUCCGCGCUGCAUUAGCUAGUUGGUAAGGUAACGGCUUACCAAGGCAACGAUGCAUAGCCGACCUGAGAGGGUGAUCGGCCACACUGGAACUGAGACACGGUCCAGACUCCUACGGGAGGCAGCAGUAGGGAAUCUUCCGCAAUGGGCGAAAGCCUGACGGAGCAACGCCGCGUGAGUGAUGAAGGUCUUCGGAUCGUAAAACUCUGUUAUAAGGGAAGAACAUAUGUGUAAGUAACUGUGCACAUCUUGACGGUACCUAAUCAGAAAGCCACGGCUAACUACGUG
rnacentral:rRNA from 1 species